AGUGAACGCUGGCGGUAGGCCUAACACAUGCAAGUCGAACGGCAGCACAGUAAGAGCUUGCUCUUACGGGUGGCGAGUGGCGGACGGGUGAGGAAUACAUCGGAAUCUACUUUUUCGUGGGGGAUAACGUAGGGAAACUUACGCUAAUACCGCAUACGACCUACGGGUGAAAGCAGGGGAUCUUCGGACCUUGCGCGAUUGAAUGAGCCGAUGUCGGAUUAGCUAGUUGGCGGGGUAAAGGCCCACCAAGGCGACGAUCCGUAGCUGGUCUGAGAGGAUGAUCAGCCACACUGGAACUGAGACACGGUCCAGACUCCUACGGGAGGCAGCAGUGGGGAAUAUUGGACAAUGGGCGCAAGCCUGAUCCAGCCAUACCGCGUGGGUGAAGAAGGCCUUCGGGUUGUAAAGCCCUUUUGUUGGGAAAGAAAGCAGCAGGUUAAGACCCCGCUGUUCUGACGGUACCCAAAGAAUAAGCACCGGCUAACUUCGU
rnacentral:rRNA from 1 species